CUAGCUUCAUCGAGCAUACUACGUUUACGAUCGGAUACAAGUCUUGGAUUCUUUCUUUGUUUUUUUAUAGGUUCCGUAACAGGAGGUUCAGGAUUUUCAUAAUUUAUUUUAGUUUCAUUAUUUUCAGGAGGUGCAACAUCAUCAAAUCUUUUGUGAGGCAUAUCUCGUAAAGGACUACCAAAACGUUGGCUAGAUGGUCCAGGAUACCUGCUGACAAAAAAUUGAUAGAAGAUAUUUAUAUUUUUAUUAAAAUUUUCCGAAGU